rnacentral:rRNA from 1 species
CCUACGGGGUGCAGCAGUGAGGAAUAUUGGUCAAUGGGCGAGAGCCUGAACCAGCCAAGUCGCGUGAAGGAUGAAGGAUCUAUGGUUUGUAAACUUCUUUUAUAUGGGAAUAAAGUGAGGAACGUGUUCCUUUUGGUAUGUACCAUAUGAAUAAGCAUCGGCUAACUCCGUGCCAGCAGCCGCGGUAAUACGGAGGAUGCGAGCGUUAUCCGGAUUUAUUGGGUUUAAAGGGUGCGUAGGUGGUUAAUUAAGGCAGCGGUCAAAUUGCGGGGCUCAACCCCGUACUGCCGUUGAAACUGCAUCCCUUGAGUGCGCGAGACGUAUGCGGAAUGCGUGGUGUAGCGGUGAAAUGCAUAGAUAUCACGCAGAACUCCGAUUGCGAAGGCAGCAUACCGGCGCGCAACUGACGCUCAUGCACGAAAGCGUGGGUAUCGAACAGGAUUAGAUACCCUUGUAGUC